rnacentral:rRNA from 1 species
AGCCCUACGGGACGCAGCAGUGAGGAAUAUUGGUCAAUGGCCGAGAGGCUGAACCAGCCAAGUCGCGUGAGGGAAGACGGCCCUACGGGUUGUAAACCUCUUUUGUCGGGGAGCAAAGCGAGUCACGUGUGACUCAUUGAGAGUACCCGAAGAAAAAGCAUCGGCUAACUCCGUGCCAGCAGCCGCGGUAAUACGGAGGAUGCGAGCGUUAUCCGGAUUUAUUGGGUUUAAAGGGUGCGCAGGCGGAGGGGCAAGUCAGCGGUCACAUUGCGGGGCUCAACCCCGUACUGCCGUUGAAACUGCAC